rnacentral:tRNA from 1 species
GGAGAUGUGGCUCAGUGGUAGAGCACUUGCCCAUCGUGAAUGAGGCUGUGGUGUCAAUUCCAAACAGCUCUA